AAGCUACUCACCCCUCAUACAGCAUUGCGAUUGUGUAGGAAAUUGCCACUACAGCUGUCAGCAAAAGGCCAGCUGGGCUUGCAUGCCUGUUUUGAAAGAGAAGGAAAAGAUCAGGAGAAACGAGGUUGCUCGACGCGGGUGACGAGAAGCAUUUGGGUCUGACCAGAACCAGACGGCAGACACAUUCCUCCGGCAUCCCUCCCGCUGUCACGGAGCUGGGGCGUUAGCUCUGGCCUCCGAGGGCAGAUACCUAACAUCUUCUGAAAGCCCUGGGACCUCAGAAGAGACCUGGGACUCCCCCCAAAAAUCACAGCAACCUGAGCAGAGAUCCCAGGGAAGAGAAAGAGUCAAAACCACCACGUGAAGGGUUGUGCAGAGCUUCCCCAGGGCAGGCGGGCGGUGUCCUGGUGCCACUGUGCACAGCUCCAGCAAUUUGUUAACAGCAAUUAUUUGUCAUGCCUCGCUGCCCUUUAUGGUGGCAGCCUUUUAAUGAGAAAAAGGAGGCAAUCACACUGUUGUCUCGAGCCACUUCAAGCGGCUUUUGCCCAGGAUUGCGGUGGAAGACCGAGCGACAUGCACCUGGUGCGAGGUUGCUGUCUCGCGGCGGCAAAGAAGGGAUUUCUGUGACAGAAACAGCUCAGGAGGGUUCAGCUGGUUCUGCAAAGGUUCUAGGAAAUAGUUUGAUGCUGAUCUUAAACAAAUAAAAACCUCCUUAUAAUUC